GUUAAACCCAGAUAUGACUGAGGAUGGGAGAAAGGACACUAGAAAUCAGAAGUAUAAAUGCAACUGUGGAGGCUGGGAAGUGUCCAUGGGUUGAUCCCUUUGUGAAUUACAUGGAGCUGACCGGGCUGAAACCCUCAGUGACCCAGAUGAGGAUUGAAGCUUGUGCUGAAAGAGUGGCUGCCCCCCCAAACAUGACAAGGCCUGAGAUGUCAUAAGGACUCUAUAUGCCUCAGCAGUUUGGACUACACCACCAGAGUGCACAGCCAUUCCACAUUCAUUUCUCUUGCAUCUCCAGCACCAUGAAACUGAUAAACCCCAGCUGCUGGUUUUCCUUGAGAAGCUUUCCACAGCAACCCCACAGUAAGAUGUUAAUACGACUUCAUCAUGUAGGGGGCAUGUGUUUUAGAGUUCUUGUUCACCUGAUGCAAAGAACUGACUUACUGGAAAAGACCCUGAUGCUGGGAAGGAUUGAAGGCAAAAGGAAACGGGAGCAGCAGAUGAUGAGAUGGUUAGAUAGCACCAUCGACUCAACGGACAUGAAUUUGAGCAAGCUCUGAGAGAUCGUGGAGGACAGAGGAGCCUGGCGUGCUGCAGUCCAUGGCGUCGCAAAGAAUGGGAUAGGAAUUGUCCCACUUAGCAGUGCUAAGUUUGGGGGAUACAGAGAUGAACAAGACAUGCCGUACCAUGAAGAACUUGUAAGGGGAGAGGAAGACAAGUAAGUGAACAAAGACAAAGUGAGUGUGACAUUUAAGAAUUAAAAAACUGUGAAUGUAAGGAGGAGGAAGACAGUGAUAUUGAGUUAAAACAUCAAGCAGAGACAGCAGCAAGCUGGGCCUUGGAAAAUGAGUAGAAAUUUCCCCACUAAAAAUGGGAUAGUGGGAAGGGUAGUUUUCCAAAAACAGGGAAAAGUAUGAGCAAAGGCACAAGUUGUAAUUGCACAGCUUAUUUCAUUCAUCUCUUCACCUAGUUGGAGCUCAUAAAUUGCUCUAACCUCAGAGAAGAGGGAGUAAUAUGGUGUACUAAUAGCACUGUAUGAAGGAGGCAG
rnacentral:lncRNA from 1 species